rnacentral:rRNA from 1 species
AAAUUGAAGAGUUUGAUCAUGGCUCAGAUUGAACGCUGGCGGCAGGCCUAACACAUGCAAGUCGAACGGUAACAGGAAGCAGCUUGCUGCUUCGCUGACGAGUGGCGGACGGGUGAGUAAUGUCUGGGAAACUGCCUGAUGGAGGGGGAUAACUACUGGAAACGGUGGCUAAUACCGCAUAACGUCGCAAGACCAAAGAGGGGGACCUUCGGGCCUCUUGCCAUCAGAUGUGCCCAGAUGGGAUUAGCUUGUUGGUGAGGUAACGGCUCACCAAGGCGACGAUCCCUAGCUGGUCUGAGAGGAUGACCAGCCACACUGGAACUGAGACACGGUCCAGACUCCUACGGGAGGCAGCAGUGGGGAAUAUUGCACAAUGGGCGCAAGCCUGAUGCAGCCAUGCCGCGUGUAUGAAGAAGGCCUUCGGGUUGUAAAGUACUUUCAGCGGGGAGGAAGGUGUUGUGGUUAAUAACCGCAGCAAUUGACGUUACCCGCAGAAGAAGCACCGGCUAACUCCGUGCCAGCAGCCGCGGUAAUACGGAGGGUGCAAGCGUUAAUCGGAAUUACUGGGCGUAAAGCGCACGCAGGCGGUCUGUCAAGUCGGAUGUGAAAUCCCCGGGCUCAACCUGGGAACUGCAUUCGAAACUGGCAGGCUUGAGUCUUGUAGAGGGGG